CUCCCUGACUGUGAGAUCCCAGGCACUUCACCGGCUGGCCGAGUCUCUCUCCAUUCUGACCCUUUCCAGGCUGCUGGCCCCCGGGGGAGCGUGCACUAUCUGUUCCUCACGUUGGGGAAUUGGCUGCUUCUGAACUGAAAUAUGAGACACAGAGUAUGAUGGAGAAGACUAAGCACUAGCAGGGACUCGGAGCGUUUUUUGCUCUCACACAUCUUUUCUGCGCGUACAGUACAAGGUAACAAGAAGAAUGAUUUAUUUAGCUCAGCGAAAGCAGCUGUUCAAAGGAAGUGAGGGAUAUUUUAGAGGAUUGUAUUCAAUUCCCAGCGUCUUCCAGCUUGUCCUCAUUUCGAGUCAACAUAACUGGCUUCAGCACAUCCGAGACAAAGCUCCCACUACUGUAGGCAACAUGCACACUUUCAGUCUCCCCUAUCCCACUCAGACAACUGUCUCCUAAUGCUUUGGUUUACAAACCCAAAGGGUCAAAAUCUGUCCUCACUUAGGUGACUGUUGAAGUCAAUGGGACUGCCCAGUUUUGAGGAGAGAGUUUAUCAUCCUCCCACUGCUGAAGCCAUUAAAUGGCUUGAUAUGACUAGCAAUUUCCGAUCAGAAGAGACCCGGCGCUGGAAUGUCAGGGCUGCGGCAGGCAAGCGGUCUGGCACUGCACCCAUUGAAGUCAAUAACAGAUCUCCCAUUCGCUUCAUUGGCAGCCACGUGAGCACCCCCAGAUGGAGCUGUAUUGACAGAGUGUUGGAGACAUGAUGCUGUGCAUAACUCUGACUGGUGCUGAGUGUAUACGGGCACACCAAAUUCACCCGUUUUUGAAAGCUCUGGAUUUCUGAAUAAUAGGGUUUUACGAUGGACCUGUGGACAGAGCUCCCAUCUCCAGUACCAUGAACACAUCAGUAUGAUAUUUACAUGAACAGUUGACCAUCAUCCUCUAUGUUCCUUCUGUCCAAGAAUGGGAACAAAACUUCCUUAUUUAAUUUUGAAUCUUUGCUUCAACUUUGCAAUUCCCUUUGAUUGCCAGCUUCUCUGGACUAUAUUAUCUGGAACUGGCCUUGCAAAAAGCACCACAUGUACCAUAAGCCAUUCUGCAGAAUUUCUAAGUGGUCUGGAAUGAACUGUUCUCCUGCAAGUAACUCACUAACAGACGUGAUUAGCAAUUAAGAAAAACAUUAUUAUCUAUCGCAUGGGCUCAGAGAAAUAUUCAUGGUGAGCCUUGUGCGUAAUAGCAGUAGGAAAGAGGCCAGGAGGGCUAAGAAAAUAUCAGUAAGCCAAUGUCAAGGAGGUUAUCAAGUGCAAAGAGAUGAUGGUGGUAAAGGAAGCCAACAAUAUGAUCCAGGAAAGAUGGGAAUGAACAGUACUGCAAGCCAACAAUGUAUGCACUGCAUAGCACUUACAGCAGUAUGCAAUUUAUCAUUAGAUAUAGAUAAAAGUUCUCUUUAAAGAUCUAUAAAGCCUUUGAUACUGCUAAGAAACAGCCAGAAGAAGGAUGUUUUAGGGAGGAAAAAAUGGAUGUAACGAAACAAAAUGCAUACUUCCUAGUGUGAUGAACAACAGAAAGGAAAGCUAUUAUUCCUGUCUUUAAUUUUGCACAAAGGCGAAAAUUUGCUGUCAAAAUCAUAGCAGCAAAUGAAGUAUUUUGAUAUUGCCCAGGGCGUAAUGUUUAAAGAGUCUUUAAUGUGAUCACACAACCGCAGGCAAUAGGAACUCAUUACUGCUGCCAGCGUUGGUUUUUUCACUAGGGGAGAACUACCGUCUCACCACAGCUAUUCACAUGCAGUGGGAUCUCAGCUUUCUUGAUCCAGAAGAAGCCACACAUAGGGAAAAUCCUACUUGCCUGUUAUCAUGGCAUCACUUACAAAGUAGAGAUGUUCAUCCUUCUGCCAAUGUAGGAUUGUUUCCUACAAUAUAUUUGCUAGUGCUUUGUUGUCCUUAAGCUCAGCCAAGCACUCUGUAGCCUGACAUUAUAAACAGGGGGCCCACGGAGGGAACUCCUUUUUGCUUAUAGAAUCACAGAAUCAUAGACAUGUAGGGUUCAAAGGGACCUCAGUAGGUCAUCUCAUCCAGCCACCUGUGCUGCAGCAGGGCCAAGUAAACUUAGACCAUCCCUUACAGGUGUUGUCUAACCUGUCUUAAAACCUCCAAUGAUGGAGAUUUUACAACCUUCUUUGGAAGCCUAUUCUAAUACUUAACUAUAAGUGUAGCACCCAAAACGGGACACAGUUCUCCUGCUGACGACUCACCAGUACCAAGUAGAGUGGGACAACUACCUCCCACAUCCUACCUUUGACAUGCUCAGCUGUGACUUGGGAGCAUAGUCUAGCUAAAUUGUGAGUCGUGUAGUUGUAUAGAAAGCAACUAGCAUAGCUGACAGUCAGAUUGGUUAAAAUUGGUUUGCAGUAAAGUUAUAAAUGAUCCAGAAGAGAUAAGGGCCUUUCCUUAAGCACCUUAUCCUGCAAUUCUUAUUCGUAUGCAUAAUUUUUACUUAUAACUCAACAGACUUCAGUGGGGCUGCUAGCAGAGGGAUCCAGUUGGAGGAAGGAGGCUGGAUUGGCCCUGAUAUUCUUUAUAAUACUUUUGAUUGGUUCCGUUUUUAAUCAUAGAGCUAUCUAUGUCUGCCACCCAUAACAUUUCCAUUGUGACUUGUCUUUGUAGCAGUAGCUGCCACUAAAAGCUAUUCUGAAAGGUAUGUCACUGCAGGCCAGAUUUUCAAAGGUAUUUAGGCAUCUAAAGAGGCAGCUAGGUGCUUGGUGGGAUUUUCAAAAGCGGGAGUUAGGCGCUAAAUCUCCAUAGGCCCUUCUGAGAAUCCCACUAGGCACCAGCCGCAUCUUUAGGCACUUUGCUAUCUUUGAAAAUUUGGCCCCCUGUUUCUUUGCCUAAAGGAUAAUGGGACUAUAUAUAUAUACGAAAGAAGCCACCUGUUUUCCUUGAGGUGCAAUAGCUACGUUACUUAUACUGGGGCAGGGUGUAUAGGUGUAUAGUCGGAAGCACUGAUACACCAUCAGAAUUGCUGAAGGCGAGCAUACCUGGUAAGGGUUAUACAAGUAACAGCUAAGGGUGAUUCUGACUCACAUGUAAUGAAUAAGGCUAUGAUUAUGUCACGGAGGUCACGGAAUCCAUGACUUCCAUUGACCUCCAUGACAUUCUCUGCCCCGGACUGGAGCUCCAAGCCAGCCCCUUCCUCCCCUUUCCCCCGCCCCCAGCUCACAGGCCCCGCACGCAUGGGGACACCCUGCAGCUGUCCAGCUGGGGGUGGCAGGGGCCCUGCAGCUGCCCAGCCGUGGUAGGCAGUGGGGGACCCCCUGAAUCUGCCCAGCUGUGGCAAGUGGCUGGGGGACCUUGCAGCUCCCAGCCAUGGUGGGCGACCCCGCAGCAACCCAACCCCACUGGCAGGAAGACCACACAGCUCCCACUCCCCACAGCAGUGGGGGAACCACGAGCCCCAGCAGAAGUGGGUGCUAACCCUGUGUCCCCAUUUUGUCAGGGAUAUUUUUAGUGAAAGUCAGGGACAGGUCACAGGCUUCCGUGAAUUUUUGUUUAUUGCCCAAAAACAACAAGGAGUCUGGUGGCACCUUGCCCGUGACCUGUGACUUGCCUGUGACUUUUACUAAAAAUAUUCAUGACAAAAACUUAGCCUUAGUAAUGAAUGAAAAUAACCACCAAAGCCGAGGUCAGAAGAAAUUUCCUCCUCAAGCAGUUAGCAAUGACCUUUUUUGUUGCGCAUUAAGUGCUGAUCCAAAGCUCAUUAAAAUCAAUG